rnacentral:ncRNA from 2 species
AUUAGAAUGCCGCCUGUUGGUGCUCGCGGUGUGGUUCACAUGCCGCAGUUCAACGGGAAGCAGGAGGGAGAGUCCACAAGGACGAACCUAACCUGCGCUGCCCCCGCAACGGUAAGCAGACGAGAGACCUGACGCAGAUCAGGCCACUCCGCUUUCAUCACGCAGCCACUGGAGAGCAUGCCCCAACGGGACGUUGCCAUCUGGGAAGGCGAUGAAGGUUGUUCUGUCAGCCCGGAUACCGGCCAACAAGGUGGUGGUGUG